CGAUAUCUGUCAGCGAGAGUACAGGGGAGUAAAUAUUCUCCAGUUAUUUUGCAAUGAGGGAAGGCCUGCACUGCCUGAACAUUCAAACUAGUUAAAUACUUUUACAGUCAACAAAUUAUCUUUCCCCCUCCUUUGUAUUGCAAAGAAUUUCAACAACAACAAAAAACCAAGAAACACAGUCAAGACAAAAUAGCCAGCUACAACAAGUCGUCGGGCCUUUGUGUUGAGUUAGUCAUGCAGGUUUGAGAGAGAAGGCGGUAACUAACAGCUAACGUUAGCUCGGACAUAACAGUAUCUCGUCGUUAAGAAACGGAGCCGUUACCGACGGACAAUUAACUCUGGCUACUGAACGGAAGACAAGUUGACCGGUGUCUCAACACAAAAAAAAAUGAUCAUUGAAAACUUAGAUUCCUUGAAAACGUGGCUUUUCAAAACACUCGAACCCAUUUGUGAUGCAGAUCCUUCUGCCCUCGCUAAAUACGUCGUUGCCUUGGUGAAGAAAGACAAAAGUGAGACUGAACUCAAAGCCCUGUGUAUCGACCAGUUGGAUGUAUUUCUACAGAAAGAGACGCAGACCUUUGUCGAUAGAUUGUUUGAAGCUGUCAACUCCAAAAGCUACCUACCUCAUCAGCAGCAGGACCAUCAGCCAGCGUCCGCGGCCAAAACGGAGCUACACCUGACCAGGACGGACAAAGACGACCAGAGGAAAGAUGAGCCAAGUCGUGAUGAGGACCGGGACAAGAAGUUCUCCAGGAGAGUAAACUACAGCCCCCCAUCCAGCUCCCGCUACAGCAGAGACGGCAGACGAGGGGACGACCGUAAAAGGGACGACCGUACCAGGAAGCGAACGAUUACGACCGCAUCCCCCCGAGACGGGACUCGUGCACGGGACCGUUACAACCGGAGGAGGGGUCGUAGCCGCAGUAGGAGCAGGAGCAAGGAUCGGGCCAGGGACCGGGAGAGAGACAGAGACCGCAGUAGUAGGAGUCACAGCAGGAGCCACUCCAAGAGCAGAGAGCGGGAUGCUGGGAAGUCAAAGUAUGAGCCCGACCGAGGAGACCGGGGGACGGAGGUUGGAGCUGGUGAAGGCCUUCUGCCGAUCCCCACGGCAACCACCACGUUCCCCCGUGCCGACCCUCAGCAGCACCAUCACGGUGAUCGCCCCUCAGGGUAACCACAGCAACAGCGUCACCUCGGUGACGGACAGCUGGUCGGACUUCCACCCGGAUCACUCACUGGACCGGCCCCUUCCGCCACCGCCCUUCAACCGUGGUCCGCCCCCUCAGCAAAGAAACGUUGCCGUGACUACGACGAGAAGGGUUUCUGUAUGCGCGGAGACAUUUGCCCGUUCGACCACGGUAUCGAUCCGGUGGUGGUGGAGGACGUUAAUCUACCCAACAUGUUCCAAGCCCCUCCCCUAUCCCGGGGGUCGCCCAGCCCCCCUCCCGGCCUACCGCCCCCUCCAGGACCUCCCCUCUCAUGACCCCACCGCCCGUCAACCUCCGGUCCCCCGGGGCCCCUGCCAGGCAGCCUGCCACCCAGCCUGCCACCCAGCCUGCCACCAGGUCCCCCUCUCCAGGCUCCAGGGAUGGACGCUCCUCCUAAUUCCAUCACCAGCUCUGUUCCCACUAUUGUAACCACAGGGACAAGGCCCUCCAUUCCCCAGCCCCCACUUCCUCUCUUCUCACCAGACCAGUAUGACUCUGACAUGUAUAACCCUGAAGCUCCCAGCCUCACCAACACCUCCAGACCUGUAUAUCGCCACAGAGUCAACGCCCAAAGACCCAACCUCAUAGGACUGACUAUGGGGAGGACCUACCUCACAGAGACAGAGGUACACAACCUGUCUGGAUUCAGAGGGAAAGAUCAGAUGCCCAACAGCAACAGAAUGAGGAUCGUUCUGGACUCAGCCUCCAGGAAGAGAUCUGCUGUCUCACACCUCGGAGCGAUGCCCCUCAAGAAACCCUGGUCCGACAAACCCAACUUCAACCAGCAGAACCUCCAGGGUGGGUUCCACAACAAGAACCCUCAGAACCAGAAGGCUCAGCUUGGGUCUAACACCAAGCUGGCGGUCCGACAGAUCCCCCAGGGACUCAACAACAUCUCCAAGCUUAACGAACACUUCAGCAAGUUCGGGACUAUCGUCAACCUACAGGUAACCUAUGGUAAUGACCCGGAGGGGGCGCUGAUCCAGUUUGACAGUCACGAGGAGGCUAAGCGUGCCCUGCAGAGUCCAGAAGCCGUUCUCAACAACCGCUUCAUUAGAGUCCUCUGGCACUGUGAUGGCGGGACGGGACCCCAGGGGACGGGACCCCAGGGGACGGGACCCCAGGGGACGGGACCCCAGGGACAGCAACACCAUCAACCACAGUCACUCAUGCAGGUACAGCAGCCAGCCACUAGUCUGAAACAGUCAGUCAAAGACCGUCUGGGCCCUCUGCCUGCCGACAGCUCAGAGCCCAACCAAGACUCUAGUGUUGCCUCUCAGAAUGCCUUUAAAUCCAACCUAUCAGUGAAGGAGAGGCUGGGCUUCGCUUCUAAACCAGGAAGUACCCCUAGUGGACCGGCAGGAAAGGUGUUCUCCACCUAUACGGGGCUGACUAAGACAGUGUACAACAUGGCUGCUCUGAAAGCAGCUCAGAAGACAGCUCUGUUCGCUGGGGUCGCUGCUACAGAGGAGGCUAUGAAGAAUAAACAGGAAGCCCUGCGGCUCCAACAGGAAAUGAGGAAAAAGAAGCAGGAAAUCCUUGAGAAACACAUCGAGACUCAGAAGCUGUUGAUCUGUAAACUGGAAAAGAACAAGACUAUGAAGGCAGAAGACAAGGCAGUGAUUAUGACAACGCUGGGAACGCUCACCAAGAGUAUUACAAAACUACAGCAGGAGAUUAAAGGGAUUUCUAACCCUUCAGGACUACGGGGGGCGCCCAAGAGCAAGGCUCAGGCUCAGAAGGAGUUGCUGGACACAGAACUGGACCUCUAUAAGAAGACCCAGUCUGGAGAAGAUACCGUUCAACUGAAGAUCAGAUACACACAGCUACAGUUAGAGGCAGCUAAGAGGGGGAUCCUGGCUCCAGGGCGGGCAGAGGGGCCCACGCUAGAGGCCGUGGGGACCCGAGGAGCAGGGGUAGGGGUAGGGGAGGCCGGGGUAGGGGUCUCCCUGUCCACUCUACAGUAGAUCACAGACCUAGAGCCCUGGAGAUCUCUGGCUUUACUGAGACUGACCUCCAGGAUCUGCUGCCACACUUUGCUCAAUUUGGAGAGUUGGAGGACUGUCAGAUCGAUGAGACAUCCUGUCUGGCUGUUAUCACUUACAGGAGUAGACCAGAGGCUGAACAGGCGGCGCUACACGGUGUUCGUCUGAACAGCUGUGACCUGCGUCUGUCCUGGCACAAGCCUGCCGUCUCCCUGACCUCCCAGGAACCUGAUGAGCAGGAGCCAGAUCAUGACGAGUUCCAGGAAGAGUCGCUGAUUGAUGAUGUGUUGCUCCAGGACGACGACGAGGAGGAGGAUGACGACAACGAACCCCGCCCCUGGCGCAGAUGAAGACGGCCCUGAUUGGACGGAAAUGCUAACGCGACUUUAUUUUUUUUUGCUGUUUCUGAUUGGCUGUUUUUUUUUUUUAACUACUAGACGCAUUUCACAAUAGGUCAGAACCUAAACAGUAAAGUCAUGUGGGAGUUUCAUGUAAAUAUAGUGUGUUUUUUUUCUUCCUGCUUUUUAUGUGUAAAAGUAGUUUAACAUGAAGAUUGGUACAGUUUUUAUUUUUUGCUUAUUGGGUUGAAAUGAAAUGAUACUAGAUUACUUUAGGGAAAGAAACCUGGUGUUGACUGAUCAGAUCAAAUGAUUUUCGAUGAAGAGCUGUUGUAUUGAACACUGCGAUGUUUAACAGUGAGAACGGCAGAAUGGUGAACUUACUAAAUGAAAUGAGAGUUUGACUGUGUGAUAAUAGGUUGCUUCUUGCGUAAAUAUUUUCUGUCUGGAUUUUAAUGAUUUGUAUGACAGCUUUGCUUCGGGAUUCUUUCUUGGAUUUAUUUUUGAAAUGUCAAAACAAAAAAUAAAGACUUCAAAUGGUCAAAAAAAAAAUAAAAAAUCAGCUCCCACCCCCCCCCAAAAAAA